CUCCCUUCAGCGAUAUAAGAAAUGAUAUUUGUUGUCCAAGUCUUAAGACAUUUGAAAGGGUGUGAUCGGUAGGACUUUAUCUUUUGUUAGAAAUUCUUGGAGAGAUGUAAAAUAUGGUCAAAGAAUUCAAGAACUUAGUUUUUUAAGUUUUUUCAUUUUUUAAUAUAUGUAAGCAUGGUUUAAAACUUUUUAUUUAAUUCCUUUGUAUA